rnacentral:tRNA from 1 species
CAGAAGGUAGUUUAGAAAAAUACUGGUUUUGGAAAUCAGAGAUGUUGAGUUUUCAAUCCUUUUGA